rnacentral:rRNA from 1 species
CCUACGGGGGGCAGCAGUGGGGAAUAUUGGACAAUGGGCGAAAGCCUGAUCCAGCCAUGCCGCGUGUGUGAAGAAGGCCUUCGGGUUGUAAAGCACUUUCAGUGGGGAAGAAAGCCUUGGGGCUAAUACCCUCGAGGAAGGACAUCACCCACAGAAGAAGCACCGGCUAACUCCGUGCCAGCAGCCGCGGUAAUACGGAGGGUGCGAGCUUUAAUCGGAAUUACUGGGCGUAAAGCGCGCGUAGGCGGUCUGAUAAGCCGGUUGUGAAAGCCCCGGGCUCAACCUGGGAACGGCAUCCGGAACUGUCAGGCUAGAGUGCAGGAGAGGAAGGUAGAAUUCCCGGUGUAGCGGUGAAAUGCGUAGAGAUCGGGAGGAAUACCAGUGGCGAAGGCGGCCUUCUGGACUGACACUGACGCUGAGGUGCGAAAGCGUGGGUAGCAAACAGGAUUAGAUACCCCGGUAGUC